UGCAUGUGCACACUCGCUGGGAAGCUGCUGAAGGGCGGUUUCUCCGCUCAGAACUCGAGGAAACGCCCGGCCCUGUGGCGGCAGAAGCACCGGCCGCCCCGGCCCUCCCGCUGCCCGGCUGGGCCGCUGCUGUCCCCCGUCCCCGGGAAGGUCUGUCCCGAGGCGGAGCCGGUGUGGCGGGUUACUGCUUUCGUGAGAUGCUCCGAGACAGCCACGGCCAAAGGCAAAAUACGUGGGAAAGGCUGCGGACUCCGCCGCACUCGCGGCCUUUGGGAGAUACGUGGCGAAAGAGCAUUUUUUAAAAAACCCCCUGGCAACUUUUUUUUCCGGCAUUUUUAACCCCGGUGCUUUCUGAGGCGAUAUCGAUUAACAACCAGCAGAGGCAGAGCCUCGGAAGACACGCGCUGGAAGGCGCCACCAGUGACCAGGCGCGGCAGGUGGCAGAGGCAGGAAGGAGGAAGCGGUUCUGGGGGCGCGUCCCUCGCAGGGGUUGCAGCACGUGCCAGGUGGGGGGAACCCACGUGGGACAGGAAACCCCAGGUCCUGAAAAGGUGGCACCGCCUCCUGACAGAACCCGAGCAGCCGUCAAGGGUAACUGGUGCCGCGUGGGGCAGGUGGCUCCGUUUGACAAGAGCUAAGAUGGCUGAGAAGACCAAGAAAAUCCCAAAGCGAAAGAAACAGGACCCCCCGUCCGCGAAGACAUUAGCUGCCUCUUCGCACAGACAAGAGGUGAACUCUUUCGGGGCGGCCCCUCGGCCCCUCGGUCUAUCCCUCGAAGCUCCUUUCACGUUCUCACCACCAUCCAGACAAACUCCCCGUUUGGGUCCCGAGAACUCCCAGGCCGCGGUGUUUCCAGCAAGUUCAGGGUGGGGCGCAGGAUAGACGCCACGGUGUGUGUCUGCGGCGCACAAUCUGCUGUUCCAACCCGCGGACGUGUCCCUUGCAUCUGCCACCACAAAGUCAUGACCGUACCCACCCCUCCCGAAAUAUGCUUGCAUUCCGGCAAUUUCUCCUCCCCUACCCCCUCUCUCCCGCUGCUGGUCCUGAGGAAACCGUGGGUCUGUUUCUGUGGCUGAAACAUCAUUUGCAUUUUGUGCGGAGUUGCGUCCUAGGGACUCUCGGUCGGACUUCUUCCACUGGUUUUCAGCAUGAUAAUUUGGAGAUUCAUCAGCGCGGCAGCACGCGUUCAUACCUGGUUUUACUUCCGGUGAGCGUGCCAUGGGGAGGUUAUCCGUUCCUCUGUCGGCGACACCGAGGCUGUUUCCAGUACUUGGCUUUUACAAAUAGGGUUGCUAUGAACAGGUGUAUGCAGGGCUUUGACCAGGUACACGUCUUCGUUUCACUGGGUUAAACGCCUAGGAUGAAAAACACAGCAGGUUUUGCAUGUAUUCGUCUUUAAGAAACUUGCAGGCUGUGUUCCAGAGGGACGGCUACUUCAGUGCCCACCAGCACGCGGAAGAGUUCCAGUCGCUUCACCGCCUCACCCACACUGGGUGUGGUGGGUCUGUUGGGCGUGAGCACUGUCUAGGGUGGGGUGUGCGCUCCCCGUAGUUUUCGCCUGUGUUUGCCGUGACGACCAAUGCCACCGACACCCUAAUUUGAAAGACCUGUGCUGUCUUUGGGGAAGUGUCUGCUCAGCCACCUGGUCUACUUUCAGCUGGCUCUUUCUCUCCCGACUAAUGGGUUUUCAGUGGCCUGUCUGUUCUGAGUACGGUCCUGGUGAGAUGCAGGCUUUUGAGGUGUCUUCUGCCGCUCUUCCACCCCCUUGACGUUUUCCUUCAAAGGCUUCUCCCUCGGCUCAGUUCUGCGGCGGUGACGUCCAGGAGGCCGCAUGCAGACCCCAGGUCAGCCAGGUGCCACUCUCUCCCGGCUUUCUGAGGUUCGGAGCCUCCAGGGGGCCUUGCAGCUCUGUGCACGUGAGGGUGACAGCCUGGGUCCCCUCGCUCAGCAGAGGGGAAAACGCCGAAGUGCUGGGAGAGGAGAAGCAACGCUGAGUGACUGAGGGAGCCAGGGUUUGCAGCAAUGGGAACUGUCAGGAAUGUGCUCUCUUAAUGCAGAAGUGGAAUCGAUCCCGGGCCUGGCCCGCAGCAGGCAAAGAGGCCUCCUUCCUGGAGGGGCACGGGAGCGCGAGCGAGGCCAAGGCGGUGCAGGUGGGAGGGUGGGCUCACCGUGACAUCUGUACUCGGAGUCCCCGGAGCCCUCCGGGUGCUAGGGCGAGUUCAGGGGUCUCUCCCCGUCCCUCGCUGACCCCCAGGAGCCCUUCCAGAGCCGCAGGCUCCCAUCCAAGGGGAAGCGCUUCCUAGACGAAAACGACUCUCCCAUAGAGCGCGCGUUCCAAAGUGGUCAUUAGAGAGCAUGGAAAACUCCUCCUGGAAAGAGCUGGAAAGUUCUCAUGGAAACUAAGUUGGACUCGCACAUUGGAAAUCAGUCACCUGCGAUAUUUAAAAAUGAAGCUAAGCUGUCUGAGUGUACAUUUCAGAAAUGCAGCUGGAGCUGCCCAAUAAAAAUAUU
rnacentral:lncRNA from 1 species